GACGAACGCUGGCGGCGUGCUUAACACAUGCAAGUCGAACGGAAAGGCCCUGCUUUUGUGGGGUGCUCGAGUGGCGAACGGGUGAGUAACACGUGAGUAACCUGCCCUUGACUUUGGGAUAACUUCAGGAAACUGGGGCUAAUACCGGAUAGGAGCUCCUGCUGCAUGGUGGGGGUUGGAAAGUUUCGGCGGUUGGGGAUGGACUCGCGGCUUAUCAGCUUGUUGGUGGGGUAGUGGCUUACCAAGGCUUUGACGGGUAGCCGGCCUGAGAGGGUGACCGGCCCACAUGGGGGUUGAGUCAGGGCCCGGCCCCCACGGGGGGCCGGAGGGGGGAAUUUUUGCACAGGGGGGGGGGGCCGAAUGCAGCACCCCCGCGGGGGGAAGGAGGGCUUUGGGUUUGAAACCCGCUUUCCCCGGUGACAAAGGGGGGGUGAGGUUAGUGGGUAAAGAAGCCCCGCCAAACUCCGUC
rnacentral:rRNA from 1 species